rnacentral:rRNA from 1 species
UACGGAGGGUGCAAGCGUUAAUCGGAAUUACUGGGCGUAAAGGGCGUGUAGGUGGUUUCGUAAGUCUGGCGUGAAAUUUUUCGGCUUAACCGGGAAAGGUCGUCGGAUACUGCGGAACUAGAGGACGGUAGAGGCGUGUGGAAUUCCGGGUGUAGUGGUGAAAUGCGUAGAGAUCCGGAGGAACACCAGUGGCGAAGGCGACACGCUGGGCCGUACCUGACACUGAUGCGCGACAGCAUGGGGAGCAAACAGG